AUCCCUGUCCCUGUGUCCAUCCCGGUGUCCCUGUGUCCAUCCCUGUCCGUGUGUCCAUCCCCCUGUCCCCGUGUCCAUCCCGGUGUCCCCGUGUCCAUCCCUGUGUCCGUGUGUCCAUCCCCGUGUCCCCGUGUCCAUCCCUGUCCCCCUGUCCCCGUGUCCAUCCCCGUGUCCCUGUGUCCAUCCCUGUCCCCGUGUCCAUCCCGGUGUCCCCGUGUCCAUCCCUGUCCCCCUGUCCCCGUGUCCAUCCCGGUGUCCGUGUGUCCGUCCCUGUCCGUGUGUCCAGCGCGUGCUGCUGGUGUCCGAGCCCUGCACCCUGGACAUCGAGGGCGUGGUGCUGGGCCUCACCUCCACGGACGUGCUGCUGCACCUGGGGGCCGAGGAGAUCUGCAGGUGCCUCCUCAGCCUUCUCCUUUUUCACCUUUUCCCCUUUCUUCCACAUUUUUACCCUUUUCUUUGCCCCUGCCCCCCUUUCCUUUAACCCUCCCCCUGCUUUGCUGUUUCCUCUCUUUUUUCCCCUUUUCUCCUCUGCCUUUUCUCUCUUCACUCCCCAUUUUCCUUUCCCUUUUUUCCCUUUUUUCCCCUUUUCUCACCCGUUUCUCUCCCGUUCUCCCACAGCUCCUCCGGGAUCAGCGAUCGCUUCACGCGGAUCCUGCGGCACCUCCUGACCCAGCGCAGGUGGGGCCUCCCAGAAACUCCUCAAUCCUCCUCAAAAACUCCUCAAUCCUCCUCAAAAACUCCUCAUUCCCCCCAAAAACUCCUCAUUCCUCCCCAGAAACUCAUCAUUCCUCCCAGAAACUCCUCAUUCCUCCCCAAAAACUCCUCAUUCCUCCCCAGAAAUUCAUCAUUCCCCCAAAAAUCUCCUCAUUCCUCCCCAAAAACUCCUCAUUCCCCCAAAAAUUCCUCAUUCCUCCCAGAAACUCAUCAUUCCUCCCAAAAUCUCCUCAUUCCUCCAAAAAACUCCUCAUUCCCCCAAAAAUCUCCUCAUUCCUCCUCAAAAACUCCUCAUUCCUCCCAGAAACUCCUCAUUCCUCCCCAAAAACUCCUCAUUCCUCCCCAGAAAUUCAUCAUUCCCCCAAAAAUCUCCUCAUUCCUCCCCAAAAACUCCUCAUUCCCCCAAAAAUUCCUCAUUCCUCCCAGAAACUCAUCAUUCCUCCCAAAAUCUCCUCAUUCCUCCAAAAAACUCCUCAUUCCCCCAAAAAUCUCCUCAUUCCUCCUCAAAAACUCCUCAUUCCUCCCAGAAACUCCUCAUUCCUCCCCAAAAACUCCUCAUUCCCCACAGAUUAUUCCCAGGGGAUCCCCACCCCUGCUGGCAUCUGGGCCGAAAUCCCCUUUUCCUGCCAUUUCCUGCUCCCAGGGGCACACAGAGGAUUUGGGGUUGGAAUCCCAGAGCUCCCAACCCCUCGCCCCGUGGUUCUUAUCCCUGGCAGCAGAUCUGCUGCUCCUGCAGAAACCCAGCUCGGCCCCGGGGGCUUUGGGGAACAUUUUGGGGGUUUAAGGCAAAGCUGGUGGGAUUGGAGGGGCUUUGGGGUGAUUUAGAGCCAAUUUGGGGCUCUCUGGGUGGGUUUGGGGCACUUUGGGUGGGUUUGGGGCAUUUUCGGAGGUUUGGGGCAUUUUCGGAGGUUUGGGGCAUUUUAGGAGGUUUGGGGCACUGUGGGGUCAUCCCUGUGUCCAUUCCUGUCCCUGUGUCCGUGUGUCCAUCCCUGUCCCCAUGUCCAUCCCUGUCCCCGUGUCCAUCCCUGUGUCCAUCCCUGUCCGUGUGUCCAUCCCUGUGUCCCCGUGUCCAUCCCUGUCCGUGUGUCCGCGUGUCCAUCCCUGUCCGUGUGUCCAUCCCUGUGUCCCCGUGUCCAUCCCUGUCCGUGUGUCCGCGUGUCCAUCCCUGUCCGUGUGUCCAUCCCCAUGUCUGUGUGUCCAUCCCUGUCCCUGUGUCCAUCCCUCUGUCCAUCCUCAUGUCCGUGUGUCCAUCCCUGUCCCCAUGUCCAUCCCUGUCCCCGUGUCCAUCCCUGUGUCCAUCCCUGUCUGUGUGUCCAUCUCCCUGUCCAUGUGUCCAUCCCUGUCCCUGUGUCCGUGUGUCCAUCUCCCUGUCCCCAUGUCCAUCCCUGUCCCUCUGUCCAUCCCCGUGUCCAUCCCUGUCCCCCUGUCCCCGUGUCCAUCCCGGUGUCCCCGUGUCCAUCCCUGUGUCCGUGUGUCCAUCCCCGUGUCCAUCCCUGUCCCCCCCCCCCCCCCCCCCCCCCCCCCCCCCCCCCCCCCCCCCCCCCCAUCCCUAUCCCUUCCCUGUCCCUGUCCCACCCCUGUCCCUGCCCCUGUUCCAUCCCUGUCCUUGUCCCAUCCCUGUGCCUGUCCCUGUGCCAUCCCUGUCCUUGUCCCAUCCCCGUCCC
rnacentral:lncRNA from 12 species